rnacentral:rRNA from 1 species
AACGAACGCUGGCGGCAUGCCUAACACAUGCAAGUCGAACGAGACCUUCGGGUCUAGUGGCGCACGGGUUCGUAACGCGUGGGAACCUGCCCUUAGGUUCGGAAUAACUCCCCGAAAGGGGUGCUAAUACCGGAUAAUGUCUUCGGACCAAAGAUUUAUCGCCUUUGGAUGGGCCCGCGUUGGAUUAGCUAGUUGGUAGGGUAAAAGCCUACCAAGGCGACGAUCCAUAGCUGGUCUGAGAGGAUGAUCAGCCACACUGGACUGAGACACGGCCCAGAAUCCUACGGGAGGCAGCAGUGGGGAAUAUUGGACAGUGGGCGAAAGCAUGAUCCAGCAAUGCCGCGUGAGUGAUGAAGGCCUUAGGGUUGUAAAGCUCUUUUACCCGGGAUGAUAAUGACAGUACCGGGAGAAUAAGCUCCGGCUAACUCCGUG